AUUGAACGCUGGCGGAAUGCUUUACACAUGCAAGUCGAACGGCAGCACGGGGCAACCUGGUGGCGAGUGGCGAACGGGUGAGUAAUAUAUCGGAACGUGCCCAAUCGUGGGGGAUAACGUAGCGAAAGUUACGCUAAUACCGCAUACGAUCUACGGAUGAAAGCGGGGGAUCGCAAGACCUCGCGCGAAUGGAGCGGCCGAUAUCAGAUUAGGUAGUUGGUGGGGUAAAGGCUCACCAAGCCAACGAUCUGUAGCUGGUCUGAGAGGACGACCAGCCACACUGGAACUGAGACACGGUCCAGACUCCUACGGGAGGCAGCAGUGGGGAAUUUUGGACAAUGGGCGCAAGCCUGAUCCAGCCAUUCCGCGUGCAGGAUGAAGGCCUUCGGGUUGUAAACUGCUUUUGUACGGAACGAAACGGUACUGCCCUAAUACGGCAGGCUAAUGACGGUACCGUAACGAAUAAGCACCGGCUAACUACGUGCCAGCAGCCGCGGU
rnacentral:rRNA from 1 species